CAUGGAUCUGUACCUGAACUCUGAUACCAUGUGAGAAUAGCUCAAGAGUUGUGAAAGAUUAGAAGAUUAGUGUUAGUUUGAUGAACCCAGCAAACCAACUAUGCAGAAACAAGUUUCUAGGGUUUCAGAAAACAAAGAAGAAAAAUACUUGAGAGUACUUGAAAAAAAUUGAAUUAUAAAUGAA